rnacentral:rRNA from 1 species
UAGCAUAUCAAUAAGCGGAGGAAAAGAAACCAACAGGGAUUGCCCUAGUAACGGCGAGUGAAGCGGCAACAGCUCAAAUUUGAAAUCUGGCGUCUUCGGCGUCCGAGUUGUAAUUUGUAGAGGAUGCUUCUGGGCAGCCACCGGUCUAAGUUCCUUGGAACAGGACGUCAUAGAGGGUGAGAAUCCCGUAUGCGACCGGAAAGGCACCCUCCACGUAGCUCCUUCGACGAGUCGAGUUGUUUGGGAAUGCAGCUCUAAAUGGGAGGUAAAUUUCUUCUAAAGCUAAAUACUGGCCAGAGACCGAUAGCGCACAAGUAGAGUGAUCGAAAGAUGAAAAGCACUUUGGAAAGAGAGUUAAAAAGCACGUGAAAUUGUUGAAAGGGAAGCGUUUGCAACCAGACUUGCUCGCGGUGUUCCGCCGGUCUUCUGACCGGUUCACUCGCCGCGUUGCAGGCCAGCAUCGUCUGGGGCCGCCGGAUAAGACCUUGGUAAUGUAGCUCCUCCUCGGGGGAGUGUUAUAGACCAUGUUGAUGCGGCGCGUCCCGGGCGAGGUCCGCGCUUCGGCUAGGAUGCUGGCGUAAUGGUUGUAAACGGCCCGUCUUGAAACACGGACCAAGGAGUCUAACAUCUAUGCGAGUGUUCGGGUGUCAAACCCCUACGCGUAAUGAAAGUGAACGGAGGUGGGAACUUUAUUGUGCACCAUCGACCGAUCCUGAUGUCUUCGGAUGGAUUUGAGUAAGAGCAUAGCUGUUGGGACCCGAAAGAUGGUGAACUAUGCCUGAAUAGGGUGAAGCCAGAGGAAACUCUGUGGAGGCUCGCAGCGGUUCUGACGUGCAAAUCGAUCGUCAAAUUUGGGUAUAGGGGCGAAAGACUAAUCGAACCAUCUAGUAGCUGGUUCUGCCGA